UACAGAGGUCUCGAGCGUUGUUCGGAUUUACUGGGCGUAAAGGGAGCGUAGGCGGUUCGGUGUGUUGAAUGUGAAAUCCCACAACUCAACUGUGGAAUGGCAUUCAAAACUACCGGGCUAGAGCACUGGAGAGGAGAGCGGAAUUCUUGGUGUAGCGGUGAAAUGCGUAGAUAUCAAGAGGAACACCGGUGGCGAAGGCGGCUCUCUGGACAGAUACUGACGCUGAGGCUCUAAAGUUAGGGGAGCAAACAGG
rnacentral:rRNA from 1 species